UUUUUUUCUCCACAAGAACCUUUGCGGUACAGUCAUCACUUGAAAAAUUACAUUUGGACUGAGAAACGAAUGCUCAGAGCAAUGCGUUCGCAAUUUCCCCACAGUCCGUUGGCUCUCGGUUUUAAUUACCAACCUGAAAUGUGCACAGGAGGUUCCCUGGGUUGCACAUAAAUCGCAAAUCAAUUUUCUUACCUUGAUGAGUCAAUUCACACACCAGGGAAUGACAUCAGAAGAGUGCCUCAACUUUAGACUCUAUCCCAUGUUAAUCUGAGCAGACCUCCAAUCGUCAAGCAUGAAAAAGACCCCCCUACUUUUUUUUCUUUCCUCCUUAAGGAAGACCCUGUCUCUGAGUGGCUUACCUCUCUAAUGGAAAAUUCGAAUUUCAGUGUGUGUGGAAGAUAAAUCAGAGAGAAGCCGACCCCAUUGCAUCAGGCCAGGGGCAUAAAAGGCCUCUCAGUUUAUACUGCACGUCUAAUAAAAACAUGCAGGGCUCACGCCAGGCAACCCGACUGAACCAGUGUUGCACUUUAUGGCUCCUUUAUGCCAAUGAGCGCGGAUUCCUCGACUCUCCUGCCGUUUCACUCGUCGAUACGUUUCAAUCUGGAUGUUUUACAAGCGGUUGGCAACCCUCGCCUGACCUGCGGGGCCCGUCCCGCGAGAUGUGUCUAUACGUUAGUCAGGAGUGACAAACAGCCCUGUUUCGAUCGCCUCCCUCGACCCCCCCCAUUGACUAUCCAACAGCAGGAUGAGAAGAUGAAUCCUCUGCGCUUAGAGGCCCUUAUAUCACCCUCUUCCUUCAUUACACUGUUAGAGGGAUGGGGAUAGCGGAGUUCCACGAGGGUCACUUAGCGGCUAAUCCACGAGGAGAAAUGACUCAGGCGUUGCCAUGAUGUGCCACAGGCCUCACGGAGUGACAACGGCAAACAGUGAGGUUUGCAGUUCAUUAUGGACGCAGCCAGUGCCGACACUGUUAAUUGGCCGGCAAUGUGAUGAGGCGAGAUUCUGACAGUUGGGGUUGUCAUGGGAGAGCCUGACAAAGCGUUCAUCUCGGAGCGGGAUGGGUUUUCUUUUUUUUUUUUUUGGCAGUAAUUAAUGCAAAUUAUGGUUAUUUCUCAGUCAAACGCACGGCGAUCCAUGUCACCCCAUUAAAUGAAGUUCUCUCGAUGACAAACAGUUUGCCACUCAGGCCCAAGCUGUGCGCUGAGUUAAAGACUGCGUAGAAGACAUCCCCACCCGAUGCUAGAGAAUGAGCGAUAGACAGAGAGAAAGAGAGCAGGAGAGAGUGAGAGAAAGAAAGUGAGACGGCCAGCGAGAGAGUAAGAGUAAGAGAGCGAGAGAGAGGGAAAGAGAGAAAGAGAGUAUGAGAGAGUGAGAGAAAGAAAGUAAGAUAGUGAGAGAGACAGCGAGAGAGUUAGAGUGAGAGAGCGAGAGAGAGGGAUGGAGAGAAAGAUGAAGUUAGCUACUGCGUGAAGCAAGUUAUUACACUUCUCAGACACAAUGCGCUUUUGUUUGCACGCCAAAUUGUGAAUGCCACAUCAAAUCACC
ensembl:lncRNA